AACGAACGCUGGCGGCAGGCCUAACACAUGCAAGUCGAGCGAAGCCUUCGGGCUUAGCGGCGGACGGGUGAGUAACGCGUGGGAACGUGCCCUUUGGUACGGAAUAGCCCCGGGAAACUGGGAGUAAUACCGUAUGUGGUCGAGAGACGAAAGAUUUAUCGCCAAAGGAUCGGCCCGCGUUGGAUUAGGUAGUUGGUGGGGUAAUGGCCUACCAAGCCGACGAUCCAUCGCUGGUUUGCGAGGAUGAUCAGCCAAACUGGGACUGAGACACGGCCCAGACUCCUACGGGAGGCAGCAGUGGGGAAUCUUAGACAAUGGGGGAAACCCUGAUCUAGCCAUGCCGCGUGAUCGAUGAAGGCCUUAGGGUUGUAAAGAUCUUUCAGUGGGGAAGAUAAUGACUGUACCCACAGAAGAAGCCCCGGCUAACUCCGUGCCAGCCGCCGCCGUAACAC
rnacentral:rRNA from 1 species